rnacentral:rRNA from 1 species
AAUAUUGGACAAUGGGCGAAAGCCUGAUCCAGCCAUGCCGCGUGUGUGAAGAAGGUCUUCGGAUUGUAAAGCACUUUAAGUUGGGAGGAAGGGCAGUAAGUUAAUACCUUGCUGUUUUGACGUUACCGACAGAAUAAGCACCGGCUAACUUCGUGCCAGCAGCCGCGGUAAUACGUAGGGUGCAAGCGUUAAUCGGAAUUACUGGGCGUAAAGCGCGCGUAGGUGGUUUGUUAAGUUGGAAGUGAAAGCCCCGGGCUCAACCUGGGAACUGCUUUCAAAACUGACGAGCUAGAGUACGGUAGAGGGUAGUGGAAUUUCCUGUGUAGCGGUGAAAUGCGUAGAUAUGUGGAGGAAUACCGAUGGCGAAGGCGACUACCUGGACUGAUACUGACACUGAGGUGCGAAAGCGUGGGGAGCAAACAGG